rnacentral:rRNA from 1 species
GCAGUAGCCGCGGGAAUACAGAGGGUGCGAGCGUUAAUCGGAUUUACUGGGCGUAAAGCGUGCGUAGGCGGCUAAUUGAGUCGGAUGUGAAAUCCCUGAGCUUAACUUAGGAAUUGCAUUCGAUACUGGGAAGCUAGAGUAUGGGAGAGGAUGGUAGAAUUCCAGGUGUAGCGGUGAAAUGCGUAGAGAUCUGGAGGAAUACCGAUGGCGAAGGCAGCCAUCUGGCCUAAUACUGACGCUGAGGUACGAAAGCAUGGGGAGCAAACAGGAUUAGAUACCCGCGUAGUCCCUGUCUCUUAUAC